AUAGCAACAGCAGCGUAGCUGAACAUCUUACGGAUGGCCCAGGGCUCCAAAGGCUCGUUUCCUAAGUGAGAGAGAGCCUGGCUGAAGCUGUAUUACCAUUCAUUCUCCAGCCUCCGAAGUCUCAAAGCAUCACUUCCACCAUACUCUAACUGUCAAGACAAACACAAAGGCCCAGAAAGAAGAAUACACUAUCGAUGUUCCUUUUAAACAAGUAUUUGAGUAAAAGCGAUGUUUCCAAUGUGUGUCAGAAAGUGAAUACUUGUAUAUUUCCGCAUGGUUAGAGCUGAGCUUUCCGAGCAAAUUUUACUGGGACCCGGUUGAAAGACAGGUCUUGGAAGUGAAAUGAUGACUGACUAGAUGAAACUGCCAGACUGUCUUCCGAAGUGGCUAUAAUAUUUACACUCACAUCAGCAGUGUAGAAGGGGUCUCACUAUGUUGUCUGGAGUGCAGUGGCUGGAGUGGAGUGGCUAUUCACAGGAUUCUUGGAAUGGACUGUAAAAGUGUGGAGUCAAGACUUUGUGUUUCCUCUCUAACAUGUAAAGAGCUUAGAAGUUGUCGCUAUUGCCCUUACAACAAAAUGAAGCUGGACAAACUGAAAAUCAAUGACUUUUCUUGGACUCACUAUAGAGCUGAGUUUGCAGAGUAAACCACUACCCUGAAAUCUGGAAAGGCAGGUGCACCCAUAGAUCCUCAGCUGAGAUCCAAUUACCUGAAAUAGAAGCUGCCAUUAGGAACACUUAAAAG
rnacentral:lncRNA from 1 species